GGAGCUGGAGCCAACGUCAGAGUCCCCCCCUCCCGGAAGGCCAAAAUAGAAGCACCAAUUUCUGUAUUGCAUGUGGACGUAGAAAAGAAAGGGUGAUGGGGAGAAUAACGGGACCUGAGGCGAUUAGGGGCGGAGACAGAAGCCAAGGGCUAGUGCGCAGGCGCCACGGUUGUCGCGUUUUCUUCUUGGGCGGUGCGGCUGGAACUUUCUGGAAAUAGCGGCGACGGAGACCCGGGGUGGUCUGCCACAGUCCAGAAGAUGGUCCCCUACCAUGACAUGGCUGAGCUGGCCACCUGGAUCCAUGCCACAGUUACAUCAAGACUAGACUACUGGAAGCACUACCGCCUAGCCUUGUUACUUUCGGAGAUGGUUGGGUGGUGGUCUGUGGAGAAGUCUGCUGCUGUAUGUUUUUUAAAAAAAUAUAUUGAUAUGGUUCUAUUGGUUUUAAAGCUAUUUGUAUUUUAAAUUAUACUGGUUGUAAUCCGCCCUGAACCUGCUGAUGCUGGGUGGAAUAUAAAUUGAACCAAUUAAAUAAACGUACACUACAUAGGUCUCCUUUCCAAGUCAGCUCAGACUCCAGUUGAUGCAGAACACUGCAGUUCUGUUAUUAUCAAGACUAGGUGGAAUAUGCAUAUUACUUGUAUUCUAGUCACUCUGUUGGUUUAUCAGAUUCAAGAUUUUGUCAACAUACAAAGCUCUACAUGGCCUGAGUUGCUUUGUGGGAUCACCUGUCCAUCAGAUGUACCGUACACGCUCUGCUCAACUGAGCAAGGUCUUCUGCUGGUGCAAUCCUGCAAAUGGGCAAAAUCAACAACUGCCCAUACAUGUGCAUUAACUGAGGUGGCUCCUUCCUUAUGAAAAUGGCCUGCCCGAUCAGAUUAGGAAGGUUCCCACUGUUUAGUCUUUUGCAAGCUAUGCAAAACAAUUAUUCUGAAAGACUUUAUUAUGUAGAUAUGAAGGCUGUACUGUAACAAACUGGUUCAUAAAGAUGCGUCGGUAAAGGGAUAGGGACUGUAGACUAUACUACCACGUACUGUUGGUAGCUGUAGGUAUGCUCAUACUUGGUAAUUUCUGUGUCAUUAAAUGUGUCAUGUUAAAAUUG